rnacentral:lncRNA from 1 species
GCCACUGGCGACAUGCGCGCGUUGCCAUCAAGCAACCGGCGGCGGCGCCCUUUUCCCGGCGGCCGACGCUCGGACGCUGACGACCGGCGGCGGCCCGCACGAGUAAGUUUCAUCUUUUCUCUUUUAGGGUUAGGGUUUUUCUCUUUUGAUUUUCCUUUUCCUUUUCUUCUUUCUUUGUUCUAUCCCGAGCAGAUCUACAACUUCGACAUGCUCUGAUAACAAUGUUAAGUCCUAGAAUUCGUCUAGGUGUAGAUCUAGCCGGGUAUACUACUUUCUGUGAUUCGAAUAUGGCAUACGGGUAUGGGGCUAGAGAGAGAGAAGGAUAGAGGGAUGUGUACCUUCGUCUUGGGACGACGACGAGCUUGACAUUGCGGCCAUGUUGAUGGCGAGGGAGCGACGGUGAGGGAGAGACGACCGGGGGGGGGGGGGGGCGACGGUGUGGACGGAGCCUUUCGUCACCUUUGCGCAACCCUAGAUGAGAAGGGAUUGUCGGUGGGGAGUUUGGCUAUGCAGACCUAGU